rnacentral:lncRNA from 1 species
CUCUAGUUAUAUGUGCUAGGGUGAGGAUCUGACUAAGCCACAAGGUAUUACGUUAAGGUUCGUUGGAUUUGAUUUGAAUGAACUCUAAGUAUAUAUAUUAGGGCUCGAUUGAAUAUGAAUUUCACUCUAGAUAGAUAUGCUAGAGCAAAAGAUUAAUUAGGCCCCAAGCAUAUGUGUUAGGACUAGUCGGGCUUGAUUUGACUUCCACUAUAAGUAUAUGUGUUAGAGUAAAAGAUUGACUAAACCCUAAGUACAUGUGUUAGGAUUAGUCAAAUUUGAUUCGACUUCCACUCUAGUUAUAUGUGCUAGAGCAAAAAGGUUGAGUAGACCCUAAGUAUAUGUAUAAGGUUAGUCGGAUGAACUCUAAGUAUAUGUGUUAGAAUUCGAAUGAAUUUGAUAUAAUUUGACUGAAUUCUAAGUAUAUAAUUUAGAAGUCUGUCAAUUUGUAGAUGAUUUUGCCUUAAUUAUAUGUGCUAAAGUGCUGGAGUUGACUUAGCCCUAAGUAUAUGUAUUAGGGUUAGUCGAUUUUGUAUUUAAUUUUUACUCUAGAUAUAUGUGCUAGAGCGAAAAAAAGAUUCAUGAUGAACUUAGUGCAUGGUCAAGGAAUUUGGUAUAUAAUUUAUGAGCUUUGGUUCAUGAAAUUGGUUCAUAGUUCAUGAGAUUUGGGAUUCGGUUCAUGAUCCAUGAGAUUUGUGUAUGGGAUUUGGUGUAUGGGAUUUGGUUCAUGAUUUAUAAAUUUUGGUUCAUGAGAUUUGAUGUAUGGAAUUUGAUUCAUGAAAUUUGGUUCAUGAGAUUUGAUGUAUAGUGUAUGAAAUUGGUUCAUGAAAAUUGGUUCAUAGUUCAUGAGAUUCGGUUCACGGUUCAUGAGACUUAGGUUCAUGGUUCAUAAGAUAUGGCUUAUGAGAUUUGGUGUAUAGCUCAUAGGAUUUCGUGUAUGAGAUUUGGUGUAUGGCUCAUAAAAUUUGGUGUUUGAUUCAUGAACUUGGUGUAUGGUUCAUGAGAUUUGGUAUAUGAUUCAUGAGAUUUAGAUAUAUUUUGGUGUAUUAUUUAUGGACUGGAUUUGGAUUGGUUUGGAUUUUAUUUGUGGACUGGAUUUGGAUUGGGCUCGGGUUUUAUUUAUGGACUAGAUUUAAAUUUCUUUGUGG